CAAACGGUCUUUUUUAGUGGUACACGUACAGUACACUUGUUUGUUGCUGCGCGAGCGACACAAUUGCUGUUCUGGCGCAGCGAGGCAUUAUACCUAAAGAAAUGGCGGCAACAACUACAGACGUCUAUCCUCCACACCAAACAUCUCUACUUCAUCGCUCUGCAUCUCCAGCACAGCAGCAGGCACAUGUUUCUAUGUUGGAUGCUGAUGAGUCAAUGAUGUCUGACAACAAAUGAACAAGAAAAGUUGUCAACCGUAAGACAAUAGACUACAACUCAUCAGUGAAUUGUGGUUUAGAGGAUCCUGAGGGAUUAUAGAGAUAGACGAGCGCUGCAGCCGAACAAAUGUUAUUAUGGAGAAAAUGAAACGCAAAAGAUGGUAGCUGAACAACGCAUGAUAGCUACAAACACAGUAACCGACAAAGACGAUCGAAGCCUACCAACGAUCUUCGUUCACCAGUGAUCUUUGUUCCAACAGCAAGGAGCGACUGAUUCUAGCCACGACAACACGGCAGCGAUAACGUACUACACAUGCAACAAGCGACUACAACACUGGUAUGAAACAAGGGAAAUGUUACAGUUUACUCAACGCCACUUCAGCUACAUGUACUAGGCCGUAAAUC